CUCCUCUGAUUCAGCGGCGGACGGGUGAGUAACACGUGGGCAACCUGCCUGUAAGACUGGGAUAACUUCGGGAAACCGGAGCUAAUACCGGAUAACUCAUGAGACCUCAUGGUCUUAUGAUAAAAGAUGGUUUCGGCUAUCACUUACAGAUGGGCCCGCGGCGCAUUAGCUAGUUGGUGAGGUAACGGCUCACCAAGGCGACGAUGCGUAGCCGACCUGAGAGGGUGAUCGGCCGCACUGGGACUGAGACACGGCCCAGACUCCUACGGGAGGCAGCAGUAGGGAAUCUUCCGCAAUGGACGAAAGUCUGACGGAGCAACGCCGCGUGAGCGAUGAAGGCCUUCGGGUCGUAAAGCUCUGUUGUUAGGGAAGAACAAGUAUCAGUUAACUGCUGGUACCUUGACGGUACCUAACGAGAAAGCCACGGCUAACUACGUGCCAGCAGCCGCGGUAAUACGUAGGUGGCAAGCGUUGUCCGGAUUUAUUGGGCGUAAAGCGCGCACAGGCGGUUCUUUAAGUCUGAUGUGAAAGCCCCCGGCUCAACCGGGGAGGGUCAUUGGAAACUGGGGAACUUGAGUGCAGAAGAGAAGAGCGGAAUUCCACGUGUAGCGGUGAAAUGCGUAGAGAUGUGGAGGAACACCAGUGGCGAAGGCGGCUCUUUGGUCUGUAACUGACGCUGAGGCGCGAAAGCGUGGGGAGCAAACAGGAUUAGAUACCCUGGUAGUCCACGCCGUAAACGAUGAGUGCUAAGUGUUGGAGGGUUUCCGCCCUUCAGUGCUGCAGCUAACGCAUUAAGCACU
rnacentral:rRNA from 1 species